AACUUCAACAUGUUGUACAGGAACCCGCAGUGCCACUAGUGAAACCCGACCUCUCAUCUGGAUGUUACCAUCAAGCGUCAGUACACUUGUCAUUUCACAUGUAUUUAAUGUGAGUUUUUCAGUACUGUAUGUGUUAAUUUCUACCUUUUUUAAUAUUUAAAAUUGCUUUUAAAUAAACAUAUUCUCAGUUGAUCCCAAAUAUCUGAAAUCAAGCCGUUUUGUGAGUGUCCACUAGUCCUUUAAAACAAAAUAUUUGGAGAGCGGGUGCCUGUGUGCUGGUUCAGUCCCCAGAUGCCCACAAGGGACCAAAGCUGGGGUCAAGGAACUCAAUCACUGUGCCGUCAUCGCUGCCUCCCAGGGUCUGCCUUAGCAGGAAGCCGGAGGCAGGAAUGGAGCCAGGGAUCAGACCCAGGCCCACCAGGUGACAACCGCGGUGGCCAACGCCCACCCCCACCCCUUCAGACUGGAGAGCAGGAGGCUUCAUUUGGCUGUGCUGAGGGCGGAUACAUAACACAAGUCGUCCCCUGCGCCCGUCCCAGCUCACCCUGCAUGCCUAACUCUGGCACCUGCUGUGCCUACAAAGGAUGGGCUUUGCUGCCUGGGUCCUCUCCCAUUCCCAGCGUCCACUUCUGCUCCUGUUCACGUGGGGAGGGCAGGGUGCCUGCAUGGCGCGAGGAUUACAUGUUAACAGGUACUGAGCACCCGGUGUGGACUGAGUGCCAGGUGCUUGCCUCUGCCAUGUCGCUGUCACCCCAGCACAGGCCCCCUUCCUGCAGCAUCUCACUCUGUCCUCAGCAAGCCCACGAGAGGCACGGGCCUGGCUUCCCAGAGCAUGGAGAUGGGGCCCAGGCAGUGUGGUCCCCGGCUGAGGGAGCGUCGGCUCCCGAAUCACUUCAGUGGACAAUCCACACGAGUGGCUCUGGACCCAGGGCCACCGCUGGGACUUGCACAGUGAGGAAGACAGCCUGCGUCACCAGGUUCCAGCCGGGGAGAACUGCGGUGGUGGGAGGCGGCCUGAGACCACAGCACGAGAUCCUGCAGCACCGGGCUCGGAGUCCUGCACUCCUCCGUGCAGGCCAAGAAUCUGAACUCCUCCCUUUCCCGGGGGAGCAGCGGGCGCUCAAGGCUUGCCAGGCAGGUGACGGGCGAGUGAGCAAGCGUAAGAGCCGCUGUGGCAGAACAUCAGGAGGCACCUGUACGAAGGCGGAGGGAACCCGGUGUUGCCUGCACACUCAACGCGCUCCUGACGCUGGACACGAGGAGGAUUUCCCUGCACCUCCUCUCGGAUUCGCCGAGGACACCAGCUGA
rnacentral:lncRNA from 1 species